GGGCCUUCCAUACUUAGUGGACAAAAUUCAUUAACGAAUUCUACCAAUGGCAAUCAAACUCCCCCGCCAUCCAAUCACUCCUCUCACACGGCUGUUACUGCCAGUUUCACUGUACGCCGAGAGAUGGAGAGACAAAGAGAGGAAAUGGAACAAAUUCAACAUUUGCGUCAAUGUAUAGAGAUGAGGCUCAAAAUGACCUUACCUGAUGACUUGUCAUCUGCACUGCAAGAUGGAGUCGUUUUAUGACAUCUGGCCAAUCACGUCCGCGCUCGUUCUGUGGCAAGCAUUCAUGUGCCGUCUUCAGCUGUGCCCAAACUAACUGUGGCAAAAUGCCGCCGGAACGUUGAGAACUUUAUCGAAGCUUGUCGAAGGAUCGGAGUUUCUGAGAACUCACUGUGCACCUGGGAGGAUAUCUUGACUGGCAAU